rnacentral:rRNA from 1 species
UACGUAGGUGGCAAGCGUUGUCCGGAUUUAUUGGGUUUAAAGGGUGCGUAGGCGGUCUAUUAAGUCAGUUGUGAAAUACGGCAGCUCAACUGUCGAGGUGCAAUUGAUACUGAUGGACUUGAGUACUGAUGAGGUAAGCGGAAUGGACGGUGUAGCGGUGAAAUGCUUAGAUAUCGUCCAGAACACCGAUAGCGAAGGCAGCUUACUAAGGAGUAAACUGACGCUGAGGCACGAAAGUGUGGGGAUCAAACAGG